rnacentral:sRNA from 1 species
CUUGCAGCCACCAAAGACUGUCACACAAUUGUGUCCAUACUGCUGGACAACCGAGCGGACUUUGACGCUGUUGAUGAAAACCUGAACAAUGCACUCCACAGAGCAGUCAUCCAAGGCAACAUCAACACAGUGAAAGUUUUGCUGAUGGAGUCCACUAUAAACGCUGAAGCUGUCAAUGCCAGAGGUCAGAAUGCAUUGCACUUACUAGGUCAGUAUGGAAAGGACAAUGCAGCAGCCAUAUUUGAACUGUUCAAAGAAACUAUGCCUGAGUAUCCAAUAGAUAAGCCUGAUCAUGAGGGCA